AGUAGAGUGGCGGACGGGUGAGUAACGCGUGGGAAUCUACCCAGUAGUGGGGGACAACUACCGGAAACGGUAGCUAAUACCGCAUACGCCCUAUGGGGGAAAGGCUUCGGCCGCUAUUGGAUGAGCCCGCGUCAGAUUAGCUAGUUGGUAGGGUAAAGGCCUACCAAGGCAACGAUCUGUAGCUGGUCUGAGAGGACGAACAGCCACACUGGGACUGAGACACGGCCCAGACUCCUACGGGAGGCAGCAGUGGGGAAUAUUGGACAAUGGGCGAAAGCCUGAUCCAGCAAUGCCGCGUGUGUGAAGAAGGCCUGCGGGUUGUAAAGCACUUUCAGUUGGGAAGAUAAUGACGUUACCAACAGAAGAAGCACCGGCUGAAUCCGUGCCAGCAGCCGCGGUAAUACGGAUGGUGCGAGCGUUAAUCGGAAUUACUGGGCGUAAAGCGCGCGUAGGCGGCUAAGUCAGUCAGAAGUGAAAGCCCCGGGCUCAACCUGGGAAUUGCUUUUGAUACUGCUUAGCUAGAGUUUGGUAGAGGAUAGUGGAAUUCCAGGUGUAGCGGUGAAAUGCGUAGAUAUCUGGAGGAACAUCAGUGGCGAAGGCGACUGUCUGGACCAAAGCUGACGCUGAGGUGCGAAAGCAUGGGUAGCAAACAGGAUUAGAUACCCUGGUAG
rnacentral:rRNA from 1 species